rnacentral:rRNA from 1 species
AUGGAGAACUCCAAGGAGUUUGCUGACAAGCUAUUCGGGAUAUGUCGAGGCAGAGGAACAUUGAGCCGGAUGAAGGCAUUAACAAGGAUCGGCUCAGAGAGGUGGAACAUGAACAUUGAUGGGAUGCUCACAGAAGAUGAGCAUCCCAUGGUGGCUACGCAAAUGAUCACAGAGAAGACUACCGCUGGGCCUUUUGAUCGACCACGCGAUUCAAAAAGCUCUUUAGUGCAGUUUGCAACAACAAAAAUCAGAGGAUUGGUCGUUUUUCUUGCAAGGUAUUCUGAAGAAUUUAAAUCAGCGGCAAUGAGUGGCGAUCAUGAAGCAGGAAAAGUUCUUGCGAGGUAUUCUGAAUAUUCUGCAGGUGUUGUGCAGGUGUUGAGGAGGCCGAAGCAAAAGCAGCCCUCAUUGGGUUGCAUGCUCUCAAGGAUCUACAAGGCCCCGUGA